GUUGCUGUCUUCUUGUAUGUGUUGCUUAUCUAGUCAGCUAACUAUAAACGUGACUGUUGUUUUUCUAUACAGGCAGACGCAUCCUAGCUACCGAAAGGCAAGGAGGUUGUUUCUCAAACUGAUGCCACUGCAGGCUGUGGACACAUGGCUACCUUGUAGAAGAGUUGUUGCUCACCUCAGGAGCAAAGAGGGGUGUCAAGGAAAACAGCUGCAUCCUCCAUCUGUACAGCAGCUGCACUGCUUCCGAUGUCUUCCAAAACGUGAUAAGCACAACAAGAUCCUCAGGCUGCAGAGUUGAUUGCGUAGACUGAAGCUAGUAAACUAGCAGAAGGAAAGCAUGUGUUGGUGAUAUGUGAGGAGCACAAAUUAUAAUAAUUAUCAAUUACUGAUACCUUAAGAGUUCCACUCUGCUCAGACUUAAAAGAAUGCCUCUGCCUUACUUCUCAAUCCUGGUGAGAAGAUCCGGCGUUGCGUGCGUGCUUGCACUGUUGCGUUGCGGUGAUCGCGUCGUUUUCAGCUGAGGCAGCAGCGGGUGAGACGAUUAACCCUGCCGGGUGGCUUGGGGUGAAUGGGUGAUCAGGUCCGUUCUCUGUGACGAUGUCCGCGUUGGUUCAGCUGCUGGCUGCGGUGGAGGCUCCAAGCGUGCCAGGGGCAGAGGGGAGCUCCAGGUGGACGGAGGUGACGGAGAGAAGAAGGGUCUACAGAGGACUCGAGGUGGAGAGAACAAGGGACAGAAAGAACAAGGGGCGUGUCUUUGGUCACGGUAGCUUUUUAUAACUGUGUUUUCGGUCAUGCCCUUCCCAUUGUGUGAUCCAAUCAGGAUGUCUGAUGUCCAAGUUCCAAGUUGUAUCAGCGGGGAGUCCUGACGUCUCGGCGGGGGAGCCAGGUAUGGUUCCCCAGCCUGGCGCAUGGUUUUUGCGCUCGGAUUUGAAAUCUCUGUUUCCACUCACUACUAUCAGGAUGAAGACGUUACACGUAGGCCGCAGUAUUUUCUUUGUUUGGGCACGUGGGACCUCAAUAAUGAUUCUGUUAAUAACCGUUUAUACACGAGGUCCGCCAACAUCUUUUACCAUGUACACAGAGUCGAGAGAUGCUUUUGCGGUCACACUUGACUUUGGUGUUCUUUGGAAGCAUAGUUAGCAAGUUUUUGAAGUCUCAUUGCAUAACUCAAAAUCUUACAUCAUGAUAAGGUUCCUGCUUUUCUGUAUGCUGUUCUGCUACCUGCAGCUAUUGCUGUUUGUAAAUGUCCGACACUGUCACUCUCCAACUCUCCUUACCCUCUCCUUCCUCAUCUCUCCCUGUGCUUCAAACAUUUUCUACCUCACAGGAACACAGACUCUGGCAGACGAAUGGUCGACCUGUAGCCAUGGAGUCUGGUUUGGGCCUGAUGGAAAAAAUGUGCCUGCCCAAACACUUUUUCCUUACAAUUUAGAGUUGAAAAUAGGUGAAAACAGGCAACAGGAUCAUUACACACCAUCCAACCAGAGGACUGGGCAGCGCUGGACCUCCAAACGGGGCAAGGCCCCAUCCAGGUCCUUCUGAUAACCCCGUGGGGGUCGUGGAGAGAGCAACUUGGAUCCACUCUAUUCACUGCAGGAAGGUCUCAGAUCCGACAGACGACCCUCCAACUACACCGCACAGGAAACCAACCAGAAGUGAGGAGACGUGAGAAGGAUGACCCUCGCUUUGCACACACACGCACUGAGGCGAGGCUGGGUUGACCGUUCAGCUGAAGGUGUGAGCCAAGCGCUGAGUCCAUAUAUCUACAAACACGUUCCUGAGACAACCUUCCCACAAGCAGCCUUGAGUUUCCGCCGCUGGAUGACGUGUAGACUCUUGACAUCACAGGAGUGACAGUGACUCAGGCGGCAUUGGGAGGGAAACCUGGCGGUGAUAACAAAUCCCAAGUGUCUCUGUGAUCAGCUGAUCACAACCUGAGGACUCCAAUGAACUGUCAACGUGUCAACACACAGUUCUUUGCUCUUCUUCUUCCUGACCACCACAACCAUCUUACACACCAUCAUGCAGUGCUGACUGGCUACACUCUCUUCUAUCACCACGUGGUAGUCACUAACCUCUCAAAUGAUGAGGUGUGCUUUGCUGGCCUUCGGUAUGAGGUAUUAAAUUCAUUUGGGACCGGUACAGAAGUUACUGGCUUGCAACCCUUGUGGCUAGAUUAAAAAAAAUUAGUAGCCCACUUCUCGCCAAGGUGCUCUGGUUCCCCAACACCUGACGCAGACCUUGUUAGACCGGGCGACGUCUGAGCCGGUAUCUCAUGUGAUUCAUUGUCUCUCAUGAUAUGAGUUACAAUGCCACCAAGGAUAACACCUUGCCAUUCAUUCAAAGAUGCCAUUCAUCAUAUUAUAACAGAAACUGACAAAACGUCUAAACAGGAGGUGAAAUACAUAAACCCCAUCAAAGUGCGUGUGAAGGUGUAUUUGCACUCCAACCAUUUUGCAAAGGGGAAUUUGUGGUUGAAUAUCGAGGCAAUUGUAUAACUGAUGCUGAAGCUGAGAGACGAAAAAAUAUUUACAAUGAAUCUUGCUGUGGAUUCUUUUUUUACUUUAACUGGAGAGGACAAACAUUGUGUAUUGAUGCUUCUGAGGAGGAUGGAUCAUUUGGGCGGUUGGUGAAUGAUGAACACAAAAAACCAAACUGCAAAAUGAAAAAGGUUGAUAACAAGGAAAGCCAGAUCUUUCUCUGUUUGCCUGUAUGGACAUACAAGCAAAUGAAGAAAUAUCCUAGGAUUAUGGGGGAGACGACUGCCCAUGGAGGAAGAUGUUUGCAAGUAAAGAGGACUUCCAGCCUGCACAAGUGUCCCAUGAUGCUUUGAAUCCAGAUGCUGAAAUGAGUGAGCCUGCAAGUGCACCCAGCAAUACAUCAGAGAAAAGGUUGUAGAAAAUUCAACAGAAGAUGUAAUGGAAGAACUCGAUAUUCCUUCUUCACCAGCAAAGGCAACCGACAGUGUGGAGGGUGAAAAUGCCCCAACAACAGCUGAGCAUUGGUCUUCUGGCUUCUGUUCUAAUAGAACUUCAUGUGAAACAUUACCAGCAGUGGAGACAGUUUCAUCUAGUGAGGAUAACGAGAUCCCUCAAACGCACAAAAAACAGGUCACCACCCACACAGCAUGGGGAGUCCUCUGGAAUCUGUUCCGGUAGGGGCCCUACAAAAGGCAAAGCAAAAAGAAUGCCAUGGACGCAAUCAGAGGUUGAGGCUGUGGAGAAACACAUGAUCCGCUUCAUCCAUUCUUGCGUGGUACCAUCAAAGCUGGAUUGUGAGAAAUGCAUCAGAGCUGAACAAGAGGCUCUUAACAACCGGACUUGGCAGAAUGUUAAAUUCUUUGUGCAUAAUCGCAUUACAGCGUACAAAAAAAAGUUCUUAGUAAAUGUUGAGUAAAUGUUGAAUGUAUACUGGCACUAUAGGUUCAUGCAAAAAUGUAAAGUUUGAGUCUGUCCUGUCACUUUUUUUGUUGUUUGCUGCUGUUGUAAGUAAUUGUCAGCUGUUUUAUUAAAACGUUCAGUUAAACAAUU